AGUCUGCAACUCGACUACCAUGAAGCUGGAAUCGCUAGUAAUCGCGAAUCAGAAUGUCGCGGUGAAUACGUUCCCGGGUCUUGUACACACCGCCCGUCACACCAUGGGAGUCGGGAAUGCCCGAAGUCAGUGACCCAACCGGAAGGAGGGAGCUGCCGAAGGCAGGCUCGAUAACUGGGUGAAGUCGUAACAAGGUAUC
rnacentral:rRNA from 1 species